UACAGAGGGUGCGAGCGUUAAUCGGAAUCACUGGGCGUAAAGCGUGCGUAGACGGUUAUUUAAGUCGGAUGUGAAAGCCCCGGGCUCAACCUGGGAAUUGCAUUCGAGACUGAAUAGCUAGGGUGCGGUAGAGGGAAGCGGAAUUUCCGGUGUAGCGGUGAAAUGCGUAGAUAUCGGAAGGAACAUCAGUGGCGAAAGCGGCUUCCUGGACCAGCACCGACGUUCAGGCACGAAAGCGUGGGGAGCAAACAGG
rnacentral:rRNA from 1 species